rnacentral:rRNA from 1 species
CAGCCGCCGCGGUAAUACGGAGGGGGCUAGCGUUGUUCGGAAUCACUGGGCGUAAAGCGCACGUAGGCGGCUUUGCAAGUCAGAGGUGAAAGCCUGGAGCUCAACUCCAGAAUUGCCUUUGAGACUGCAUCGCUUGAACGUCGGAGAGGUGAGUGGAAUUCCGAGUGUAGAGGUGAAAUUCGUAGAUAUUCGGAAGAACACCAGUGGCGAAGGCGGCUCACUGGACUGGUAUUGACGCUGAGGUGCGAAAGCGUGGGGAGCAAACAGGAUUAGAUACCCCAGUAGUCCCUGUCUCUUAUAC